UAGAGUUUGAUCCUGGCUCAGGAUGAACGCUGGCGGCGUGCUUAACACAUGCAAGUCGAACGGAACUGUCAUUUUUGAAGCAAUUAGCUUGCUAAGGGUGGAAAUGUUGGCAGUUUAGUGGCGGACGGGUGAGUAACGCGUGGGUAACCUGCCUUACACAGGGGGAUAACACCUGGAAACAGGUGCUAAUACCGCAUAACAGGAAGAGGCGCAUGCCACUUUCUUGAAAACUCCGGUGGUGUAAGAUGGACCCGCGUCUGAUUAGCUGGUUGGCGGGGUAACGGCCCACCAAGGCGACGAUCAGUAGCCGGCCUGAGAGGGUGGACGGCCACAUUGGGACUGAGACACGGCCCAAACUCCUACGGGAGGCAGCAGUGGGGAAUAUUGGACAAUGGGGGGAACCCUGAUCCAGCGACGCCGCGUGAGUGAAGAAGUAUUUCGGUAUGUAAAGCUCUAUCAGCAGGGAAGAAAGAAAUGACGGUACUUGACUAAGAAGCCCCGGCUAAAUACGUGCCAGCAGCCGCGGUAAUACGUAGGGGGCAAGCGUUAUCCGGAUUUACUGGGUGUAAAGGGAGCGUAGGCGGUACGGCAAGUCAGAAGUGAAAGCCUGGGGCUCAACCCCGGGAUUGCUUUUGAAACUGUCGAACUAGAGUGUCGGAGGGGUAAGCGGAAUUCCUAGUGUAGCGGUGAAAUGCGUAGAUAUUAGGAGGAACACCGGUGGCGAAGGCGGCUUACUGGACGACCACUGACGCUGAGGCUCGAAAGCGUGGGGAGCAAACAGGAUUAGAUACC
rnacentral:rRNA from 1 species